AGAGUUUGAUCAUGGCUCAGGAUGAACGCUAGCGACAGGCCUAACACAUGCAAGUCGAGGGGCAGCAUUUCUAGCUUGCUAGAAGAUGGCGACCGGCGCACGGGUGAGUAACGCGUAUGCAACCUACCUUAUACUGGGGGAUAGCCCAGAGAAAUCUGGAUUAAUACCGCAUAAUAUGCUUGAAUCGCAUGGUUUAAGUAUUAAAACUCCGGUGGUAUAAGAUGGGCAUGCGUAGCAUUAGUUAGUUGGUGAGGUAACGGCUCACCAAGACAGUGAUGCUUAGGGGGUCUGAGAGGAUAGUCCCCCACACUGGUACUGAGACACGGACCAGACUCCUACGGGAGGCAGCAGUGAGGAAUAUUGGUCAAUGGGCGCAAGCCUGAACCAGCCAUGUCGCGUGCAGGAUGACGGCCCUAUGGGUUGUAAACUGCUUUUUUACAGGAAUAAUUGUUGCUACGUGUAGUGAUUUGAAUGUACUGUAUGAAUAAGGAUCGGCUAACUCCGUGCCAGCAGCCGCGGUAAUACGGAGGAUUCGAGCGUUAUCCGGAUUUAUUGGGUUUAAAGGGUCCGUAGGCGGCUUUUUAAGUCAGUGGUGAAAUCCCAGAGCUCAACUCUGGAACUGCCAUUGAAACUGAAAAGCUUGAAUGUGGGUUGAGGUAGGCGGAAUACGUUAUGUAGCG
rnacentral:rRNA from 1 species